ensembl:lncRNA LINC00904 long intergenic non-protein coding RNA 904
AGCGGCUCUCAGCCGUUAAGUGGAGAAUGUUCAGGACUGUCGAGGCGCGCUCCGCACCUGGCCUGAAAGCGGGAGAUUUGGCAACCAGUGCGCGUGGGUGCGCCGGCCCUUGCAGCUGGGGACUCUGGAGGCAGACCUUGCCCAAAGCCAGAGGCAGGAACUCCCCAGAUCCUCCCAGGAGACCAACAAUUGUCAGCACAGCAAAACUGGGCAUUUCUUUUCUUACUGAGCUUUGCAGCUACCUACACAGUUGUGUGUGGCAUCUCCUCCUGGGUGCAAGGACAUGAGAUGACAUCAGGGUCUUGCUGUGUCAUCCAGGCUGGAGUGCAGUGAUAUGAGCAUGGCUCACUGCAGCCUCGACCUCCCAGCUUCAAGCAAUGCUCCCACCUUGGCCUCCCAAAGCGCUGGGAUUACAGGCAUGAGCCACCAUGCCUGGCCAUUGCCAUUGCACUUCAGCUGGUUCUCCUGAACCUUGAAUUAUCUUAGGAAAGAUUGUAUUUUCAGGAAUUAAGUCUAUUGGAGACACAGCAGGACUCCACAGCCAGCUAGAUUUGGAUAAAAUGUAGACUGCCUCAAGGCCAGUGUGUUGACUUCUGACCAGUCUCAUCUGAACCCACACCCUUUAACAUAUAUACAAAACACCUGAA